rnacentral:rRNA from 1 species
CCUACGGGCGGCAGCAGUGAGGAAUAUUGGUCAAUGGCCGGAAGGCUGAACCAGCCAUGCCGCGUGAAGGUCAGUGCCCUAUGGGCGUUAAACUUCUUUUGUGCGGGAGCAAUAAUGGUCACGUGUGGCCAGACGAGAGUACCGUACGAAUAAGCAUCGGCUAACUCCGUGCCAGCAGCCGCGGUAAUAUGGGGGAUGCAAGCGUUAUCCGGAUUUAUUGGGUUUAAAGGGUGCGUAGGCUGUGAGGUAAGUCAGCGGGGAAAUGCCGCCGCUCAACGGGGUGAAGUGCCAUUGAUACUGCCUUGCUGGAAUGCGGAUGCCGUGGGAGGAAUGUGUGGUGUAGCGGUGAAAUGCAUAGAUAUCACACAGAACACCGAGUGCGAAGGCAUCUCACGAAUCCGCGAUUGACGCUGAUGCACGAAAGCGUGGGUAUCAAACAGGAUUAGAUACCCUAGUAGUC